rnacentral:rRNA from 1 species
CCUACGGGAGGCAGCAGUGAGGAAUAUUGGUCAAUGGACGAGAGUCUGAACCAGCCAAGUAGCGUGAAGGAUGACUGCCCUAUGGGUUGUAAACUUCUUUUAUAUGGGAAUAAAAUGUUCCACGUGUGGGAUUUUGUAUGUACCAUAUGAAUAAGGAUCGGCUAACUCCGUGCCAGCAGCCGCGGUACUACGGAGGAUCCGAGCGUUAUCCGGAUUUAUUGGGUUUAAAGGGAGCGUAGGUGGAUUGUUAAGUCAGUUGUGAAAGUUUGCGGCUCAACCGUAAAAUUGCAGUUGAAACUGGCAGUCGUGAGUACAGUAGAGGUGGGCAGAAUGCGUGGUGUAGCGGUAAAAUGCUUAGAUAUCACGAAGAACUCCGAUUGCGAAGGCAGCUUACUAAACUGCCACUGACAUUGAUGCGCGAAAGUGUGGGUAUCAAACAGGAUUAGAUACCCGGGUAGUC